rnacentral:rRNA from 1 species
UGGGGAAUCUUGCACAAUGGGCGGAAGCCUGAUGCAGCGACGCCGCGUGGGGGAUGACGGCCUUCGGGUUGUAAACUCCUUUCGCCAGGGACGAAGCCGUGAGGUGACGGUACCUGGAUAAGAAGCACCGGCUAACUACGUGCCAGCAGCCGCGGUAAUACGUAGGGUGCGAGCGUUGUCCGGAAUUACUGGGCGUAAAGAGCUCGUAGGUGGUUUGUCGCGUCGUCUGUGAAAUUCCGGGGCUUAACACCGGGCGUGCAGGCGAUACGGGCAUAACUUGAGUGCUGUAGGGGAGACUGGAAUUCCUGGUGUAGCGGUGAAAUGCGCAGAUAUCAGGAGGAACACCGAUGGCGAAGGCAGGUCUCUGGGCAGUAACUGACGCUGAGGAGCGAAAGCAUGGGUAGCGAACAGG